ACAGAGGUCUCAAGCGUUGCUCGGAUUCAUUGGGCGUAAAGGGUGCGUAGGUGGCUUGGUAAGUCGGAUGUGAAAUCCCGGGGCUCAACCCCGGAACUGCAUUCGAUACUGCUGGAGCUUGAGUCCUGGAGAGGAGAUCGGAAUUUACGGUGUAGCAGUGAAAUGCGUAGAUAUCGUAAGGAAGACCAGUGGCGAAGGCGGAUCUCUGGACAGGAACUGACACUGAGGCACGAAGGCCAGGGGAGCAAACGGGA
rnacentral:rRNA from 1 species